rnacentral:tRNA from 1 species
AAUCUAUUAGUUCAAAUGGUAGAGCACUAUGCAGAUGCAUAGACAUGUAGGUUCGAUUCUUACAUAGGUUA